rnacentral:lncRNA from 1 species
UAGCAGAACUUGAAUUUCAACAGAGAAACUUAACAAUAACAACAACUACAACAACAACAAAAAUGUGUAUUUUAACAGCUCUACUGAAAUGCUGAAGACUUGAUCCUAUGCUUGGAAAUGGGGGAUAAAGUCAAUUGCAAGAGACAAAAAGAGCAGAGGCCUGGAAAAGGACUAUUCUACCGAACCUGGAAGGGAGAAGAUAAAUACAGCUGGACACAUGGAGGACAGAGCGCAUUUGUCUUCGUGUGGUGUUGAAGAAGUCUCGAUGCCCCAAUACCAUGCAGUCCUUGAAGUGUGGAAACUAAAUCCUGGGUCUCUCCAACACUCCCCAAUAGUAUUCUGAG